UAUAUCUGCUUUGUUUUUCAGUUGGUGUUGCUGGUGACAGGACUGUCCAGCGCAGAGCGUUACCCCUGCUCCACAUGCAACUGCACAGCGGCAGAAUUUCUAAGUGUUUCAAAUCAUCUCAUAUACCCCAUUUUAAAUUAUGACGUCAGCACUACAUCUCUGUCUCCUUGGACAUACAAAUGCACUAAGGAUAUGGACAGGAUUCCAAUGGUGCUUUGUAAUGCGGUCUGUGAUCAGCCAUGCUGGAAGUUCAGCAAAGCUGCCAAACCAGCAGGAAUAAAGGUGCGAAUAAGCACUUUUCGAAGGCAUCCAUGUGAUAAUGGCCGCUACAGACUCUCCAGAACACAGUAUAAACUGAUUGUUGGAUGCACUUGUGUUAAAUAAUGCGUUAUAAAGAAAUGUUAUGCAUGACAUUACCAUUAUGUGUGUAUUUAAAUAGAUUUUUAUUUAUUUAUUUUUUUUAUUUUACUGUUAUAUACUAAUGUAAUAUACUGCUGUAUGUUGUCAAAUUUACCAGGUUGUAACCAUGCAUGUGCAACAUGCUGUGCAAACAUUUUUUCAAGAAUCAAAAGUGAAAUAAAGCUUUAAGAUUUUU